rnacentral:rRNA from 1 species
CAGGCUUAACACAUGCAAGUCGAGGGGCAGCACAGGUAGCAAUACCGGGUGGCGACCGGCGCACGGGUGAGUAACGCGUAUGCAACUUGCCUAUCAGAGGGGGAUAACCCGGCGAAAGUCGGACUAAUACCGCAUGAAGCAGGGGCCCCGCAUGGGGAUAUUUGCUAAAGAUUCAUCGCUGAUAGAUAGGCAUGCGUUCCAUUAGGCAGUUGGCGGGGUAACGGCCCACCAAACCGACGAUGGAUAGGGGUUCUGAGAGGAAGGUCCCCCACAUUGGUACUGAGACACGGACCAAACUCCUACGGGAGGCAGCAGUGAGGAAUAUUGGUCAAUGGCCGAGAGGCUGAACCAGCCAAGUCGCGUGAGGGAUGAAGGUUCUAUGGAUCGUAAACCUCUUUUAUAAGGGAAUAAAGUGCGGGACGUGUCCCGUUUUGUAUGUACCUUAUGAAUAAGGAUCGGCUAACUCCGUGCCAGCAGCCGCGGUAAUACGGAGGAUCCGAGCGUUAUCCGGAUUUAUUGGGUUUAAAGGGUGCGUAGGCGGCCUUUUAAGUCAGCGGUGAAAGUCUGUGGCUCAACCAUAGAAUUGCCGUUGAAACUGGGGGGCUUGAGUAUGUUUGAGGCAGGCGGAAUGCGUGGUGUAGCGGUGAAAUGCAUAGAUAUCACGCAGAACCCCGAUUGCGAAGGCAGCCUGCCAAGCCAUUACUGACGCUGAUGCACGAAAGCGUGGGGAUCAAACAGGAUUAGAUACCCUGGUAGUCCACGCAGUAAACGAUGAUCACUAGCUGUUUGCGAUACACUGUAAGCGGCACAGCGAAAGCGUUAAGUGAUCCACCUGGGGGGUACGCCGGCAACGGUGAAACUCAAAGGAAUUGACGGGGGCCCGCACAAGCGGAGGAACAUGUGGUUUAAUUCGAUGAUACGCGAGGAACCUUACCCGGGUUUGAACGCAUUCGGACCGAGGUGGAAACACCUUUUCUAGCAAUAGCCGUUUGCGAGGUGCUGCAUGGUUGUCGUCAGCUCGUGCCGUGAGGUGUCGGCUUAAGUGCCAUAACGAGCGCAACCCUUGCCACUAGUUACUAACAGGUAAAGCUGAGGACUCUGGUGGGACUGCCAGCGUAAGCUGCGAGGAAGGCGGGGAUGACGUCAAAUCAGCACGGCCCUUACAUCCGGGGCGACACACGUGUUACAAUGGCGUGGACAAAGGGAAGCCACCUGGCGACAGGGAGCGAAUCCCCAAACCACGUCUCAGUUCGGAUCGGAGUCUGCAACCCGACUCCGUGAAGCUGGAUUCGCUAGUAAUCGCGCAUCAGCCAUGGCGCGGUGAAUACGUUCCCGGGCCUUGUACACACCGCCCGUCAAGCCAUGGGAGCCGGGGGUACCUGAAGUCCGUAACCGCGAGGAUCGGCCUAGGGUAAAACUGGUGACUGGGGCUAAGU